ensembl:lncRNA
CUGGUCUGCAGCGGUCUGGCCGGUGUCCAUUUCUGACUGUGGGGACAGGGGGCAAAUGGAGGGAGAGUGAGAGAAAGGCGAAGAGCACGAGGGAGAGUGGGAUGGAGAGGGAUGCUGUGAGCCGUUCUGUUAAAACGUUCAGCGGUGGAGGGAAGCCAUCUGCUGCAUUACAACAACCUGCAGGAGAUAGAGAGGUGAAGGAGGUAGCGUAUAGCGCCUAAGGAGAAGUAAUCACGGUUAUCACCUAUAUCUCGGUUCGGUCGCUGUGUCAGCUGUAUCAAAACGACAUGGCCCCGACUGCACAAUCGACUAUGAAAAUGCAGAGAUAUGGCCAUUGUUUACAAGUAGGAUGCUUUAUUUGGAGUACAUCAUUGACAUUCUCGUUCAGUGCAGGUACCGGGAGAUAAUAUGGAGCCAAUUGCCUCGCUCCAAAACUGGCAUAAAUAUUCACCAGCCCUUCCUGCACAAAACAAAUUGAUUCCACAUUCAAGGUUACUGAUAAGAUAACAUCCGUGAGUGAAUACCAAUCUACCUCCCAUAGACUGAGCUAGGCUGAAUUUGGUCGGAUGGGGGAAAUCUGCACGCGCUGUGUUGUUGAAUGAUGAAUGGACCAAUUGAGUCUGCAGAGUUCUAUUACUUUCCAUCAUCAAACGAAAGUUGCUGAGGAGCUCUGCUCUCCAUUUUAGAGCAGGAACUGAUUAUGCAUACAAAAUGAGGACAGAAUUAACCCUCGCCAGCUACGACUGAAGCCUAAAGGCUGCUUCUUUGUGUUCGUGUUUUUCUUUCUCCAUUAUUUUCCCUGACCAUUCUCUAAUAAUGUUGCCUCCCUCUAAGAUUUGUUAUCUUGCAAUGUAUGUUCAUACCCCUCCCCCGCAUUCAUCUUUCCCGCUUUCCUCCAGACUUCUGCUCUACAGUCAGUGUCCCCCAGGCUUGAACUAACUCCAGUAUGUGAUAUAAAUAUCCUCAGCAUUUAAUCUCUAUGCUCUUUGAGUCUUCUUCAUGGCCGGAGGUUUCUCUAUGCACUCCUAGUUCUCCCAUGUUCUUCCCCUCUGACACCGAACAAGUUUGAUCCACUAACUGAUUGCAGUACUGCAGGACAGAAUUUAUGAAAUAUUUUUAGCCUGCUCACGUUUCUACUGCAUUAUUGGGUCAUGUGUAUAUUUUCCAAGCAGAAAAUGUAUUUGUUUAAAAGGAGAAAAAUAACGAAAUGGUUUUCACGAUUUCUGUUGAUGGUUCCUGCACAUGCAUUUUUACUCUAAUGCAGACCGAAUGCCAUAGUAAAAUGCUGUAAAACUAUUCUACACAUUUUUCAGUUGUACCAGUGAAGUCCGAACCACUAACAUACUAUACAGCAUGACCAGUAAAGUUGGAUUCUCAUACAAAUAACCUUUGUGAGCCAGUUGUAUUUAGUGAAUCUCAAACAUAGGCUGUGUCCGAAAUUUCGAACACUCUGGGUAGAUACAACAGUAGA